rnacentral:rRNA from 1 species
GUGUCAGUACAAACCAAAUUAGAGUGAAACCGCGAAUGGCUCAUUAAAUCAGCUAUGAUUCAUUGGAUCUGUACCCAGUUUUCCUUGGAUAACUGUGGUAAUUCUAGAGCUAAUACAUGCACAUAUAGUCCCUACACCUCGUUGAGAGGGAAGGGCGCUUUUAUUAGUAUCAAAACCGGUCGGGCUUCGGUCUGUAAACCAGUUUGAUGACUCUGGAUAACUUUUAGCUGAGCGCACGGUCUUUUGUACUGGCGCCGCUUCUUUCAAGUGUCUGCCUUAUCAGCUAGAUUGUAAGUUAUGUGCUUACAAUGGCUAUAACGGGUAACGGGGAAUCAGGGUUCGAUUCCGGAGAGGGAGCCUGAGAAACGGCUACCACAUCUAAGGAAGGCAGCAGGCACGCAAAUUACCCACUCCCAGUUCGGGGAGGUAGUGACGAAAAAUAACGAUGCGAGACUCAUCCGAGGCCUCGCAAUCGGAAUGAGUACACUUUAAAUCCUUUAACGAGGAUCAAUUGGAGGGCAAGUCUGGUGCCAGCAGCCGCGGUAAUUCCAGCUCCAAUGGCGUAUAUUAAAGCUGUUGCGGUUAAAAAGCUCGUAGUUGGAUUUCAGUAUUGGACUGAUGAGUUUUUUCACCUUUUGGUGAUUGAACCCAAUCAAGCUUCAAAACCUGCGGCCACAAUGUAAUAACCUUGUGUGUUGCUGAACUAGCUCACACGGGGUGCUCUUAAUCGAGUGUCCCGAGUGGCUGGUAUGUUUACUUUGAAAAAAUUAGAGUGCUCAGAGCAGGCUAGUAAUGGCCUGAAUGUCUAUGCAUGGAAUAAUAUAAGAGGACCUCGGGUUUUAUGUUUUACCGCGUUUCUUUUGGAAACCCGAGGUAAUGAUUAACAGGACCAAAUGGGGGGUAUUAGUACUGCGACGCUUGAGGUGAAAUUCUUGGACCGUCGCAAAGGUGGAAGCCGAUCAGAUACCGCCCUAGUUCUAACCAUAAACGAUGCUAACCAGCGAUCCGCCGAUGUUAUAUCCAUGACUCGGCGGGCAGCUUCCGGGAAACCAAAGUCUUUGAGUUCCGGGGGAAGUAUGGUUGCAAAUCUGAAACUUAAAGGAAUUGACGGAAGGGCACCACCAGGAGUGGAGCCUGCGGCUUAAUUUGACUCAACACGGGAAACCUCACCAGGCCCAGACACUGGAAGGAUUGACAGAUUGAGAGCUCUUUCUCGAUUCAGUGGGUGGUGGUGCAUGGCCGUUCUUAGUUGGUGGAGCGAUUUGUCUGGUUAAUUCCGAUAACGAACGAGACUCUGGCCUAUUAACUAGUCGACGGAUUUCCAAACCAUGCAUUGGUGUCCAGUUCGCAAUAUUAUCUUCUUAGAGGGAUAAGCGGUAGUCCUAGCCGCACGAGAAUGAGCAAUAACAGGUCUGUGAUGCCCUUAGAUGUUCUGGGCCGCACGCGCGCUACACUGAAGGGAUCAGAAUGUUUUCCCCCUCCGAAAGGAGCGGGUAACCCUAUGAACCCCCUUCGUGAUAGGGAUUGGGGCUUGUAAUUAUUUCCCAUGAACGAGGAAUUCCCAGUAAGCGCAGAUCAAGAGUUUGCGUUGAUUACGUCCCUGCCCUUUGUACACACCGCCCGUCGCUACUACCGAUUGAAUGAUUUAGUGAGGCCUUCGGACUGUCGCUCUUGGAUAUCUUGGCAUCAUUAUUAAUGCUGCUGGUUCCUAGAGCUGACGGAAAGAUGUCCAAACUUGAUCAUUUAGAAGAAGUAAUCGUCAUAACGUUGUCUCC